GAUGAACGCUAGCGGCAGGCUUAAUACAUGCAAGUCGAGGGGCAGCAUGAAUGUAGCAAUACAUUUGAUGGCGACCGGCAAACGGGUGCGGAACACGUACACAACCUUCCUAUAAGUGGGGAAUAGCCCAGAGAAAUUUGGAUUAAUACCCCGUAACAUAAUGAUGUGGCAUCACAUUAUUAUUAUAGCUUCGGCGCUUAUUGAUGGGUGUGCGGCUGAUUAGAUAGUUGGCGGGGUAACGGCCCACCAAGUCUACGAUCAGUAGCUGAUGUGAGAGCAUGAUCAGCCACACGGGCACUGAGACACGGGCCCGACUCCUACGGGAGGCAGCAGUAAGGAAUAUUGGUCAAUGGACGCAAGUCUGAACCAGCCAUGCCGCGUGAAGGAUUAAGGUCCUCUGGAUUGUAAACUUCUUUUAUCUGGGACGAAAAAAGGCUAUUCUUAGUCACUUGACGGUACCAGAUGAAUAAGCACCGGCUAACUCCGUGCCAGCCGCCGCCGUAAUAC
rnacentral:rRNA from 1 species